rnacentral:tRNA from 2 species
GUCCGCGUGGCGUAAUGGAUAAGGCAUCGCCCUGCGAUGGCGUGAUUGAGGGUUCGAGUCCCCUCGAGGACG